rnacentral:rRNA from 1 species
UACGUAGGUGGCAAGCGUUGUCCGGAUUUACUGGGCGUAAAGAGCGCGCAGGCGGUCGUUCAAGGCGCGUGUGAAAGCCCCCGGCUCAACUGGGGAGGGUCACGCGAUACUGAUCGACUCGAAGGCAGGAGAGGGUAGUGGAAUUCCCGGUGUAGUGGUGAAAUGCGUAGAUAUCGGGAGGAACACCAGUGGCGAAGGCGACUACCUGGCCUGUUCUUGACGCUGAGGCGCAAAAGCCAGGGGAGCAAACGGG